UCUCAGCGACCAGAACAAUCACCACCGUCCGUCCGUCCCGUUCCUCUUCUCGCAGGUUGGACCCGUCAGUCACACACCUCCGAAGUCGGAACCUCCCUGCCCCAACACAAUGGCCUCCUCCCUCGCCGCGCGCCGCCUCCUCUCCCGCGCAGCCGCCGUGCGCCGUUUCCCCGUCCCCUUCGCCUCCGCCCCAGCCCCCGCGAUGGCUCCCCGCAGUUUCUCCGCCGACGCGGGACCGCCUCCGCCGCUCCCGCCACCGCCGCCGCAGCCCGUCGUCGAGCCGCCCACGUCGGAGGGCGCGGGUGCCUCGUCCUCCUCCACCACCGCUGGUGCCGGAGGGGCCCACAGGUCGUCGCCGGGAGCCGCGGCGGGGGCGCGGCGCCAGGGUGGUGCGGGCUACGAGGAGGAGCAGGAGAAGGUCCUCCGCGCGUCGCUGCUCCACGUGCCGCGCAUGGGGUGGAGCGAGUCGGCCAUGGUCGCGGGGGCGAGGGACGUUGGCGUGUCCCCUGCCAUCGUGGGCGCAUUUCCAAGGAAGGAGGCCGCCCUUGUGGAGUUUUUCAUGGAUGACUGCCUCCAACAACUGAUGGAUCGAAUUGAUGCUGGAGAAGGAGAGCAGUUGAAGAACUUGAUACUGAGUGAGAGACUCUCAAAACUUGUUCGGAUGAGGCUGGAAAUGCAGGCACCUUAUAUAUCUAAGUGGCCUCAAGCACUGAGUAUUCAGUCUCAACCAGCAAACGUCUCAACAAGCUUGAAGCAGCGAGCUAUCCUGGUGGAUGAGAUAUGGCAUGCUGCUGGAGAUUCUGGGUCAGAUAUUGAUUGGUAUGUGAAACGUACAGUGCUUGGUGGUAUCUACUCAACCUCAGAGGUGUAUAUGUUGACAGACAAUUCUCCAGCAAGGAUUGAAACGAAAGUGUUUCACUGUUUCGGAGUUCCGUGAUACUUGGACGUUUGUGAACCGCAGAAUAAAGGAUGCUCUUGAUCUUCAGAAAACCUUCCAAGAGGCCGCAUACCUCGCUGAAGCCGUGGGAGCAGGCAUGAGCGGUACCGUGCAGGGUGUUCUCAACAGGGUCUUCCAGAACCGUAGUGGAUGAACUUUCUUUUUCUCAAACACGUAGUGUGGAUGGACUAAUUCCGUCUUUUGCACGCUGCACAGGAUAAAGCACAUUUUCCCGUUGACCAACUGGCGUAUGUUUAUAAUAAAGCAAAUGGUGAUGUGGUUGAGAUGCAUCACGUUAGGGUAGGAA